GUUUGAUCCUGGCUCAGGAUGAACGCUAGCGGCAGGCCUAACACAUGCAAGUCGAACGGUAACAGGAAAUAGCUUGCUAUUUUGCUGACGAGUGGCGCACGGGUGCGUAACGCGUAUACAAUCUACCUUUUGCUGAGGGAUAGCCCAGAGAAAUUUGGAUUAAUACCUCAUGGUAUUAUUGAUAGGCAUCUAUUAAUAAUUAAAGGUUACGGCAAAAGAUGAGUAUGCGUCCCAUUAGCUAGUUGGUGAAGUAACGGUUCACCAAGGCAACGAUGGGUAGGGGUCCUGAGAGGGAGAUCCCCCACACUGGUACUGAGACACGGACCAGACUCCUACGGGAGGCAGCAGUGAGGAAUAUUGGACAAUGGGCGAGAGCCUGAUCCAGCCAUGCCGCGUGCAGGAAGACUGCCCUAUGGGUUGUAAACUGCUUUUAUACAGGAAGAAUAAGCCUUACGUGUAAGGUGAUGACGGUACUGUAAGAAUAAGGACCGGCUAACUCCGUGCCAGCAGCCGCGGUAAUAAGGGCGAAU
rnacentral:rRNA from 1 species